rnacentral:rRNA from 1 species
UACGAAGGGGGCUAGCGUUGUUCGGAAUUACUGGGCGUAAAGCGCGUGCAGGCGGUCUUCCAAGUCAGUGGUGAAAGCCCGGAGCUCAACUCCGGAACUGCCAUUGAAACUGUGAGACUUGAGGAUGAGAGAGGUGAGUGGAAUUCCCAGUGUAGAGGUGAAAUUCGUAGAUAUUGGGAAGAACACCGGUGGCGAAGGCGGCUCACUGGCUCAUUUCUGACGCUCAGGCGCGACAGCGUGGGGAUCAAACAGG